ACGAACGCUGGCGGCUUGCUUAACACAUGCAAGUCGUACGGUAAGGCCCUUUCGGGGGUACACGAGUGGCGAACGGGUGAGUAACACGUGAGUAACCUGCCCACAACUUUGGGAUAACGCUAGGAAACUGGUGCUAAUACUGGAUAUGUGCUCCUGCUGCAUGGUGGGGGUUGGAAAGCUCCGGCGGUUGUGGAUGGACUCGCGGCCUAUCAGCUUGUUGGUGGGGUAGUGGCCUACCAAGGCGGCGACGGGUAGCCGGCCUGAGAGGGUGACCGGCCACAUUGGGACUGAGAUACGGCCCAGACUCCUACGGGAGGCAGCAGUGGGGAAUAUUGCACAAUGGGCGCAAGCCUGAUGCAGCAACGCCGCGUGCGGGAUGACGGCCUUCGGGUUGUAAACCGCUUUCAGCAGGGACGAAGCUUUUUGUGACGGUACCUGCAGAAGAAGCACCGGCUAACUACGUG
rnacentral:rRNA from 1 species